rnacentral:rRNA from 1 species
AACGAACGCUGGCGGCAUGCCUAACACAUGCAAGUCGAACGAGGUCUUCGGGUCUAGUGGCGCACGGGUGCGUAACGCGUGGGAAUCUGCCCUUUGGUUCGGAAUAACAGUUGGAAACGACUGCUAAUACCGGAUGAUGACGAAGGUCCAAAGAUUUAUCGCCAGAGGAUGAGCCCGCGUAGGAUUAGCUAGUUGGUGUGGUAAAGGCGCACCAAGGCGACGAUCCUUAGCUGGUCUGAGAGGAUGAUCAGCCACACUGGGACUGAGACACGGCCCAGACUCCUACGGGAGGCAGCAGUGGGGAAUAUUGGACAAUGGGCGAAAGCCUGAUCCAGCAAUGCCGCGUGAGUGAUGAAGGCCUUAGGGUUGUAAAGCUCUUUUACCCGGGAUGAUAAUGACAGUACCGGGAGAAUAAGCUCCGGCUAACUCCGUGCCAGCAGCCGCAGUAA